CGGGAAUGGAAUACCGCGGAGAGAUUAGCUUUAUAUUUCGGCUCUACAAAAGGUCCGACCAGUCUCGGUGCCAGCUCAACCUCGACAUCUCCCCUGCGUGCCGAAUGGAUUAGGAAUGAAUGAGAAGAUUACAUUGGCAUGGAUAAAACAAACGCAAAAUGUCAACUGCACGUUCUCCACAUGUAAACGACACUUAUAAAGGAGACGGGGGGAGAAAAAAAGGACGACGUCUUCUUAGAAGUCCUCCGAAAUAUCCAAACCAUAAAACCCUUUUUGGUGAAAUCUAUGGAGAAAACGUCACGACGGGGGAAAUAUAGGGUAACGGCUUAGACGAAUACAAUACUAUACGAAUGGACAAAGUGAAGGUUGAUUGAAAUAAGAGAAACAUAAUAAAGAUCUUGGCACUGAAAUAUGCACGCCCACUGUCUGCAUAAUAUUCUAUCGAAUGAAAAUCUAUGAAGGACGCAUUAAAUCACAUUUGGCAUAUUGCAUAUUGCAAAUUGUAUAUUUCUUUAAUAAUUUUAAUUAAUCGAUCAAUAAAACAGAUAUUUAAUAAUUUCGACGUAUCCUCAACGGCAAUAACGGCAAUCAACAAUUUCAAAGGCUCUAUAUGAAAACUCUAUAAUAAAAGUAAAAGCAAAAGAAUAAGCAAAAGAAGAAGAAGAAAAAGAAAAAAAUAAUGAAAUGACUGACGAUUUCUAUAAACAAUUAAAAAAUAUCACGGUAAAGUAUAAGAGCACGUGGCGCCGUAGUGCAGUUUCACGUCCUGCCUACGAAGAACUAAUCUUCGAUCGUGUCUUCGAACGAAAGGAAAGAUGUAGAGGUCUUAUUUAGUCACGAUAUCCGACGGCCGUCGCAACGAACUCGUCCGAACGUUUGUUCGAUUCAUUAGCAGGAAGCAUAAGCAAACAUACGCGGUACACCUUUCAAAGAACAAACCACCGACUUUCUUGACUUCUUCACGACUUCAGAAAAACCUUCAAGAUUCUACAAAAUACUUUUUCUUGCUUUCAGAUUUCUUUUUCCUUAUUUUUUCUCUCUUUUAUUUCUCUCUCUCUCUCUCUCUUUUAAAUUUUAUUUCCCUUUCCUAGAAGAAUUCGAUUUUAGAAAUCUCUCAAGAAGCAAAAAGCAAAUGAAAGUUUAAGACUUUAAUUGAUUUCCUCGAGAAGUAUGGAGAAAAAAAAUUUUUUACAGAUAUCAUAUCUUUUUAUUCGCCUUAGAAGAAAGAAUUUAGAAACGA